ACUAAAAUAGUAACUUAAAUCGUUUAAUAUGCCCACUACUACGAUCGAAGUUACUCCACUACUCUUUUUACCAUAAAUCAAAUCAUAAGUAGUUCAUAUUAUUAUUAUACUCUUAAAACUGUUUCUUAAUGUUCACAACAUCUUCUCUUUAGUAUUGUUUUUGUUU
rnacentral:sRNA from 1 species